CCUACGGGGUGCAGCAGUGGGGAAUAUUGGACAAUGGGCGAAAGCCUGAUCCAGCCAUGCCGCGUGUGUGAAGAAGGCCUUCGGGUUGUAAAGCACUUUCAGUGGGGAAGAAAGCCUUGGGGCUAAUACCCUCGAGGAAGGACAUCACCCACAGAAGAAGCACCGGCUAACUCCGUGCCAGCAGCCGCGGUAAUACGGAGGGUGCGAGCGUUAAUCGGAAUUACUGGGCGUAAAGCGCGCGUAGGCGGUCUGAUAAGCCGGUUGUGAAAGCCCCGGGCUCAACCUGGGAACGGCAUCCGGAACUGUCAGGCUAGAGUGCAGGAGAGGAAGGUAGAAUUCCCGGUGUAGCAGUGAAAUGCGUAGAGAUCGGGAGGAAUACCAGUGGCGAAGGCGGCCUUCUGGACUGACACUGACGCUGAGGUGCGAAAGCGUGGGUAGCAAACAGGAUUAGAUACCCUGGUAGUC
rnacentral:rRNA from 1 species